rnacentral:rRNA from 1 species
AGUGAACGCUGGCGGUAGGCCUAACACAUGCAAGUCGAACGGCAGCACAGUAAGAGCUUGCUCUUACGGGUGGCGAGUGGCGGACGAGUGAGGAAUACAUCGGAAUCUACUUUUUCGUGGGGGAUAACGUAGGGAAACUUACGCUAAUACCGCAUACGACCUACGGGUGAAAGCAGUGGAUAUUCGGACCUUGCGCGAUUGUAUUAGCCGAUGUCGGGUUAGCUAGUUGGCGGGGUAAAGGCCCACCAAGGCGACGCUCCGUAGCUGGUCUGAGGAGAUGAUCCGCCACACUGGAACUGGGGCACCGUCCCGACUCCUACGGGAAGCAGCAGUGAGGAAUAUUGGACAAUGGGCGCAAGCCUGAUCCAGCCAUACCGCGUGGAUGAAGAAGGCCUUCGGGUUGGAAAACCCUUUUGUUGGGAAAGAAAAGCAGCUGGUUAAAACCCCGCUGUUCUGACGGUACCCAAAUAAGAAGCACCGGCUAACUUCGUG